rnacentral:lncRNA from 1 species
CGGGCAUAUACAACUUGUAAACUGUUGUAGGAUGAAUUUUUGUAAAAGAUAAUAUGACUGGAGAAUUUCAUAUAAGGUAUCAAAAGCCCUCUCCUUUUUUUCCAAAGUCCGUUAUGUGUUUCCUUUUUGUUAAAUUCAAUUAUUUUUCGUGUUUCUGGCCUUAUACCACAGUUAUUCUUCCCCUUUGCUACAAUGGAUUUUUUUGGUAAAAGUCAAAUUAAAUUAAAAAUUUGCACCGCUUCAAACAUGAAAUAAAUGAAACUGCUUAUAGACCAUUAUUAUUCUAAUAAAAUGUGCUUCUCAGACAAUUCUUC